rnacentral:lncRNA from 1 species
UACUGUUGCAACAUUAGUUCCAAUGAAAGGUUCAGUUUGCUUCUAGAAAAGAUCAUGGGCCACAGACGAAUUUCUAAAGUUUGCCCAUGAAUUGCACUUCUCCCCGGGGUGGAAGUAACUUUCACUACUUUCUUCUUUUUCUUGUGACCUAAUGUUCUUGCAUGAUCACAUGGGCGCUGGGACACCCGGGCUUGGUCCCUUUUGGACCCAAGCAGUGUUGGUAGGCCACUCUCACAUAACCCUGAUUUAGGCUGCUUUCCCUAAGAAUAUAAAAGAUGAAGCUUCGGUAACCCUGACGCGCCGAUGUCAUUUGAUUGAGAAUUUGGAAGUCCUAAAUUUCGAUCUUAUGUUUUUCUCAUCAAAAUGUAACUUAGAGGAAAUUAACUUGGCUCAAGCGUGCAUUCGGUCCGGUUAACAUAUAUUCAAAUAUUUUAUGGAUUUAUUUUGCUAGCAAAUCAAGAUAUCAACAGUUAAUUAGUAUUACCGUUUUUGAGACCUUCCCUCUAAUAAAUUGUUAGACUAUGUUUAGGAUAUUGGUAAUGCCACUGCAGGUUGAGCACUUGCAAUCUGGACGAUGGUUCACCUCUCCUGCAGUUCACGAUUUCGAUAAAUUCUAAUAGACAUGAAAAUGCUAGGCC